UACGUAGGGUGCAAGCGUUAAUCGGAAUUACUGGGCGUAAAGCGUGCGCAGGCGGUUGUGCAAGACCGAUGUGAAAUCCCCGGGCUUAACCUGGGAAUGGCAUUGGUGACUGUACGGCUAGAGUGUGUCAGAGGGGGGUAGAAUUCCACGUGUAGCAGUGAAAUGCGUAGAGAUGUGGAGGAAUACCGAUGGCGAAGGCAGCCCCCUGGGAUAACACUGACGCUCAUGCACGAAAGCGUGGGGAGCAAACAGGG
rnacentral:rRNA from 1 species